AUUCCAGCUCCAAUAGCGUAUAUUAAAGUUGUUGCGGUUAAAAAGCUCGUAGUUGGAUUUCUGUCAAAGGUGAGGUGGUCCAUCUUAUGGAUGUGUAUCUACCCAUGCCUUGGCAUCUUCUUCAAGAACGCUUUCGCGCUUCAUUGCGUGAUGCGGAAUUGAAGACUUUUACUUUGAGGAAAUUAGAGUGUUCACGGCAGGCAAUCGCUUUGAAUACAUUAGCAUGGAAUAAUACUAUAGGGCCUCGGCUUUAUUUUGUUGGUUUCUAAAGCUGAGGUAAUGAUUAAUAGGGAUAAUUGGGGGUCUUUGUAUUGCAACGUCAGAGGUGAAAUUCUUGGAUUGUUGCACGACAAACUACUGCGAAAGCAUUGGCCAAGGAUGUUUUCAUCA
rnacentral:rRNA from 1 species